rnacentral:rRNA from 1 species
GACGAACGCUGGCGGCGUGCCUAAUACAUGCAAGUUGAGCGCUGAAGGUUGGUACUGGUCCCAACUGGAUGAGCAGCGAACGGGUGAGUAACGCGUGGGGAAUCUGCCUUUGAGCGGGGGACAACAUUUGGAAACGAAUGCUAAUACCGCAUAAAAACUUUAAACACAAGUUUUAAGUUUGAAAGAUGCAAUUGCAUCACUCAAAGAUGAUCCCGCGUUGUAUUAGCUAGUUGGUGAGGUAAAGGCUCACCAAGGCGAUGAUACAUAGCCGACCUGAGAGGGUGAUCGGCCACAUUGGGACUGAGACACGGCCCAAACUCCUACGGGAGGCAGCAGUAGGGAAUCUUCGGCAAUGGACGAAAGUCUGACCGAGCAACGCCGCGUGAGUGAAGAAGGUUUUCGGAUCGUAAAACUCUGUUGGUAGAGAAGAACGUUGGUGAGAGUGGAAAGCUCAUCAAGGGACGGUAACUACCCAGAAAGGGACGGCUAACUACGU